ACAACGAACGAGUGGUAACGAGCGAUAUUCGAGGUAGGUGGAAUAUAUCCGCAAAACAAAAAUACAUUUCCAUUCAAUGUUUUCAGUUUAACACAGAUCGCUUCAUUCAUUGGACAUUCGUCUUCCUAAGCUCGAAGCCGCCGGACGGUUUUAUAUCGUUAUCGUCCAUCGUUGAAGUGAUACCGUUAUUUUCGUGGCUGGUGAAGUGAGUGUUGGACACUAACGGGAUUCCCUGUGAAUUCAUUGAAGCAGACACAACAAGCGAGAGGAAGAAACCCUGCACGCGAGCGCUGUGUGCUGGUGUGUUAUCGCCGUAGCACCUUUUCGACAUCAUCACCGCGUGGUGCGAUACACGGGUUCAGCUGUACCGAACGAUCAACACGCAGCACCGUUAUAAAUAAUCCGCACUGCUCGAGCAACCUCUGUACUGAUGAUGCGACGAUGGACCGCAACAAGCACCCCACCGCCAGUUCGCUUUUCGCUAUUAAGCGUGUUUCUGUCGCAACGAUAGACCGAAAAACACGAAGGAAAUAGUAUACCGUCUUGUACAGAAGAGUCCAGGGUUUCCCACGAUCAGCGGAGCAACAGGACGAAACUCUAUUCCAUCGGUAACAACAGAUAGAACUCCUCACACAAAUUUCCGUUAUUGCUGCAUCGCAACCGUCGGCUGGAUGGGAGCAGCGAGCGGUGUGGAGAAACAGUCCCGCUGCUGCGAUGGACCAUCUCGUCGUCGCUCGUCUCGAAAAAUAGUGUUGUUACGUUCGG